GUGUCAGCAGCCGCGGUAAUACGGAGGGUGCGAGCGUUGUCCGGAAUCACUGGGCGUAAAGGGCGCGUAGGCGGCUGGGGAAGUCCAUGGUGAAAGCCCGCGGCUCAACUGCGGGUCGGCCAAGGAUACUCCUCGGCUCGAGUCGACUAGAGGCAGAUGGAAUUCCGGGUGUAGCGGUGGAAUGCGUAGAGAUCCGGAAGAACACCGGUGGCGAAGGCGGUCUGCUGGGGUCGGACUGACGCUGAGGCGCGACAGCGUGGGGAGCAAACAGGAUUAGAUACCCGAGUAGUCC
rnacentral:rRNA from 1 species